rnacentral:rRNA from 1 species
UACGUAGGGUCCGAGCGUUGUCCGGAGUUACUGGGCGUAAAGCGCGCGCAGGCGGCGGUGCUGGCCCGGCGUGAAAGCCCCCGGCUCAACCGGGGAGGGUCGUCGGGGACCGCACCGCUUGAGGGCGGUAGGGGCGGGUGGAAUGCCUGGUGUAGUGGUGAAAUGCGUAGAGAUCAGGCGGAACACCCGUGGCGAAGGCGGCCAGCUGGGCCGUCCCUGACGCUGAGGCGCGAAGGCGUGGGGAGCGAACGGG